GAUCAUGGCUCAGGAUGAACGCUGGCGGCAUGCCUAACACAUGCAAGUCGAACGAGGGCACUUCGGUGCCCGAGUGGCGGACGGGUGAGUAACGCGUGAACAAUCUGCCUAUGUCAGGGGAAUAACACAGAGAAAUUUGUGCUAAUACCGCAUAAGACCACGGAGGGGCAUCCCUUUGGGGUAAAAGAUUUAUCGGACAUAGAUGAGUUCGCGUCCCAUUAGGUAGUUGGUGAGGUAACGGCCC
rnacentral:rRNA from 1 species